rnacentral:rRNA from 1 species
CAAUAGCGUAUAUUAAAGUUGUUGCGGUUAAAAGCUCGUAGUUGGAUUCCUGUAUGGAAGGGGCGUCCCCACCCUUUCGGUAUGGGGGUUGGCUGCCUUCCUUUUGUCAUCUUCCGGAGUAGAUGUUCCUCACUUCACUGUGAGGACAUUAUGCUCGGGUCAUUUACUUUGAGGAAAAGAGAGUGCUCCAAGCAGGCAAACGACCUGAAUACGUUAGCAUGGAAUAAUAGCAUCGGAUCAUCGUUCAGCUGUUGGUGUCUGGACGAGGAUAAAGGUGAACAGGGAUUGUUGGGGGCAUUCGUAUUUAACUGUCAGAGGUGAAAUUCUUGGAUUUGUUAAAGACGAACGACUGCGAAAGCAUUUGCCAAGGAUGUUUUCAUUGAUCAAGAACGAAAGUUAGGGGAUCGAAGAUGAUCAGAUACCAU